GCUGAAGCAACGCGGAGAACAGGAGCGUUCUGAGAGCGCAACCACCGCCACCAUGAGCCUUCUCAACAAGCCCAAGAGUGAGGUGACCCCGGAGGAGCUGCAGAAGCGGGAGGAGGAAGAGUUUAACACGGGCCCACUCUCCGUGCUCACGCAGUCCGUCAAGAACAACACCCAAGUGCUCAUCAACUGUCGCAACAACAAGAAGCUCCUGGGCCGUGUGAAGGCUUUUGACAGGCACUGCAACAUGGUGCUGGAGAAUGUGACGGAGAUGUGGACCGAGGUCCCCAAGAGUGGCAAGGGCAAGAAGAAGUCCAAGCCAGUCCACAAGGACCGCUACAUCUCCAAGAUGUUCCUGCGCGGGGAUUCGGUCAUUGUGGUCCUGCGAACCUACUCAUCGCUGGCAAGUAGGGGCUUGCUCCCCACUGUCCAAACUCACUCCCCCGUCCUGCAAAACCCGCCCUUUGACAUGAGAACAAUAAAAGCCUGGUGUGUGUUUUUGUGUGCCGACAUCAGCCACCUGUCCCUCGAAUCAGGCUGCAAGCUCAUUUCAGACAAGAACACAGGCCCAGCUGCGUUCUCAGAAAAAGUUCGAGAACUUGGCAAUUUGAGAUUCUGA